CGGAGCGUAGCGCAGUCUGGUAGCGCACCUGAUUUGGGAUCGAGGGGGUCGGAGGUUCGAAUCCUGCCGCUCCGACCA
rnacentral:tRNA from 1 species